AACGAACGCUGGCGGCAUGCCUAACACAUGCAAGUCGAACGAGACCUUCGGGUCUAGUGGCGCACGGGUGCGUAACGCGUGGGAACCUGCCCUUAGGUUCGGAAUAACUCCCCGAAAGGGGUGCUAAUACCGGAUAAUGUCUUCGGACCAAAGAUUUAUCGCCUUUGGAUGGGCCCGCGUUGGAUUAGCUAGUUGGUAGGGUAAAAGCCUACCAAGGCGACGAUCCAUAGCUGGUCUGAGAGGAUGAUCAGCCACACUGGGACUGAGACACGGCCCAGACUCCUACGGGAGGCAGCAGUGGGGAAUAUUGGACAAUGGGCGAAAGCCUGAUCCGACAAUGCCGCGUGAGUGAUGAAGGCCUUAGGGUUGUAAAGCUCUUUUACCCGGGAUGAUAAUGACAGUACCGGGAGAAUAAGCUCCGGCUAACUCCGUG
rnacentral:rRNA from 1 species